GAUGAACGCUGGCGGCGUGCCUAAUACAUGCAAGUCGAGCGAACCACUUCGGUGGUGAGCGGCGAACGGGUGAGUAACACGUAGGUGAUCUGCCCAUCAGACGGGGACAACGAUUGGAAACGAUCGCUAAUACCGGAUAGGACGAAAGUUUAAAGGUGCUUCUGGCACCGCUGAUGGAUGAGCCUGCGGCGCAUUAGCUAGUUGGUAGGGUAAAGGCCUACCAAGGCGACGAUGCGUAGCCGACCUGAGAGGGUGAACGGCCACACUGGGACUGAGACACGGCCCAGACUCCUACGGGACGCAGCAGUAGGGAAUCUUCGGCAAUGGGCGAAAGCCUGACCGAGCAACGCCGCGUGAAUGAUGAAGGCCUUCGGGUUGUAAAAUUCUGUUAUAGGGGAAGAACGACUUUAGUAGGAAAUGGCUAGAGUGUGACGGUACCUUAUGAGAAGGCCACGGCUAACUACGUGCCAGCAGCCGCAGUAACAC
rnacentral:rRNA from 1 species